AUUGAACGCUGGCGGCAUGCCUUACACAUGCAAGUCGAACGGCAGCACGGGGGCAACCCUGGUGGCGAGUGGCGGACGGGUGAGUAAUGCAUCGGAACGUGCCCUGAAGUGGGGGAUAACGCAGCGAAAGCUACGCUAAUACCGCAUAUUCUGUGAGCAGGAAAGCAGGGGAUCGCAAGACCUUGCGCUUUGGGAGCGGCCGAUGUCGGAUUAGCUAGUUGGUGGGGUAAAGGCCUACCAAGGCGACGAUCCGUAGCGGGUCUGAGAGGAUGAUCCGCCACACUGGGACUGAGACACGGCCCAGACUCCUACGGGAGGCAGCAGUGGGGAAUUUUUGGACAAUGGGCGAAAGCCUGAUCCAGCCAUGCCGCGUGAGUGAAGAAGGCCUCGGUUGGUAAA
rnacentral:rRNA from 1 species